rnacentral:lncRNA from 1 species
UAUUAGUAGAGUUCUAGGGAGGAGCCUAGGCUACAAAUCCAAAGUUAGUAGUCAUGGCAAAUAGAUGGCUUUUAAAGAUUUGAAGCUAGAUGAAAUCAUUUAGGAAGAAUGUACAAAUAGAGAAGAGGAUGCUAGACCAAGCUGAGACCACCUGACUUGGAACAACGGACAGAAGUCAGCAAAGCAGAUUAAGAGGGACCCGCAAAAUGGGUUGUUACGGAAUCCAAGAGGGAGAAAAAGUAUUUUAAGAAGUAGAUAUCCUGAGAGUGACACUGUAAAAAUAAAAUUUUAAAAAAAC